rnacentral:rRNA from 1 species
UACGUAGGGGGCGAGCGUUGUCCGGAAUCAUUGGGCGUAAAGAGCGUGUAGGUGGACUGGAAGGUCUGGUGUGAAAGCCCGGGGCUCAACCUCGGAACUGCCUUUGAUACUGCAAAUCUCGAGUCCGGAAGAGGUGAGUGGAAUUCCUAGUGUAGAGGUGAAAUUCGUAGAUAUUAGGAAGAACACCAGUGGCGAAGGCGGCUCACUGGUCCGGUACUGACGCUGAGGUGCGAAAGCGUGGGGAGCAAACAGG